rnacentral:rRNA from 1 species
CCUACGGGGGGCAGCAGUGGGGAAUAUUGCACAAUGGGGGAAACCCUGAUGCAGCGACGCCGCGUGAGCGAUGAAGUAUUUCGGUAUGUAAAGCUCUAUCAGCAGGGAAGAAAAUGACGGUACCUGACUAAGAAGCCCCGGCUAACUACGUGCCAGCAGACGCGGUAAUACGUAGGGGGCAAGCGUUAUCCGGAUUUACUGGGUGUAAAGGGAGCGUAGACGGCUGUGCAAGCCAGAUGUGAAAGGCCGGGGCUCAACCCCGGGACUGCAUUUGGGACUGUGUGGCUGGAGUGUCGGUGAGGCAGGCGGAAUUCGUGGUGUAGCGGUGAAAUGCGUAGAUAUUAGGAGGAACACCAGUGGCGAAGGCGGCCCGCUGGACGAUGACUGACGUUGAGGCUCGAAAGCGUGGGGAGCAAACAGGAUUAGAUACCCCUGUAGUC